ensembl:piRNA 21ur-4926 ncRNA
UUCUCAAAUUGUUGUAAGGUU